rnacentral:rRNA from 1 species
CAGUCGCCGCGGUAAUACGUAGGUGGCAAGCGUUGUCCGGAAUUAUUGGGCGUAAAGGGCUCGCAGGCGGUUUCUUAAGUCUGAUGUGAAGGCCCCCGGCUCAACCGGGGAGGGUCAUUGGAAACUGGGAAACUUGAGUGCAGAAGAGGAGAGUGGAAUUCCACGUGUAGCGGUGAAAUGCGUAGAGAUGUGGAGGAACACCAGUGGCGAAGGCGACUCUCUGGUCUGUAACCGACGCUGAGGAGCGAAAGCGUGGGGAGCGAACAGGAUUAGAGACCCCUGUAGUCCCUGUCUCUUAUAC